rnacentral:misc_RNA from 1 species
AACGCACCUUGCGCCCGCCAGUAUUCUGGCGGGCAUGCCUGUCCGAGCGUCAUUUCUACCAUCAAGCUCUGCUUGCGAUGGGGCCCUGCGGCUGCCGCAGGCCCCGAAACCCAGUGGCCGGCUCCGGCGAACCACCGAGCGCAGUACUUUGCUUCCGCUCCGGCUGGACGACGGGCCCGCGCCGUAAAACGCAGAGCGUCCCCCCCCCGGGGGGCCUCUCCACAGGUUGACCUCGGAUCAGGUAGGAAUACCCGCUGAACUUAA